rnacentral:rRNA from 1 species
GAUGAACGCUGGCGGCGUGCCUAAUACAUGCAAGUCGAGCGAACAGACGAGGAGCUUGCUCCUCUGACGUUAGCGGCGGACGGGUGAGUAACACGUGGAUAACCUACCUAUAAGACUGGGAUAACUUCGGGAAACCGGAGCUAAUACCGGAUAAUAUAUUGAACCGCAUGGUUCAAUAGUGAAAGACGGUUUUGCUGUCACUUAUAGAUGGAUCCGCGCCGCAUUAGCUAGUUGGUAAGGUAACGGCUUACCAAGGCAACGAUGCGUAGCCGACCUGAGAGGGUGAACGGCCACACUGGAACUGAGACACGGUCCAGACUCCUACGGAAGGCAGCAGUAGGGAAUCUUCCGCAAUGGGCGAAAGCCUGACGGAGCAACGCCACGUGAGUGAUGAAGGUCUUCGGAUCGUAAAACUCUGUUAUUAGGGAAGAACAAAUGUGUAAGUAACUAUGCACGUCUUGACGGUACCUAAUCAGAAAGCCACGGCUAACUACGUG